rnacentral:rRNA from 1 species
UUUAUUAGAUAUCAAACCAAUAAUCUUUCGGGAUUAUUGUGAUGAUUCAUAAUAACUGAUCGGAUCAAGGUGUACCUUGAUAGAUCAUUCAAGUUUCUGCCCUAUCAGCUUUCGAUGGUAGUGUAUUGGACUACCAUGGCAGUCACGGGUAACGGAGAAUUAGGGUUCGAUUCCGGAGAGGGAGCCUGAGAAAUGGCUACCACAUCCAAGGAAGGCAGCAGGCGCGUAAAUUACCCAAUCCUGACACAGGAGGUAGUGACAAUAAAUAACAAUGUUGGGCUUUCUUAAGUCUGACAAUUGGAAUGAGAACAAUUUAAAUCCCUUAUCGAGGAUCAAUUGGAGGGCAAGUCUGGUGCCAGCAGCCGCGGUAAUUCCAGCUCCAAUAGCGUAUACGCUAUUGGAGCU